rnacentral:lncRNA from 1 species
AGCUAGACCAAGAUGGGCCUUAUCUCUUGAAGGCACAAUGACUGUGUAUAAGAAGAGGCAGGCGGUCUCCCCCAAAGAGGAAGCCCCAGCCCUUCCUUGAGGAAGAGCUGUCAAAUGCCCCAGGCUCUGAGCCCUGAGCCUGCCCUCCUGCUCCCACCCCAACCCUACCUCCUCACCCUACUCAUCAGCCCUAGCACCAUUCUCCAGCCCCACGCAUGCAGGCAGGUCACAGGCUGACGACGACGGGGGAACCAUACUAAUUACGAGGGCCCAGGGGUCUAGAUGGGAACUGAGUCAAAUGCCACAUGUAGAUCUUCAGCCUGUCCGCCCUUGACGGGGAGCCCAACAAGUUUAUUCAUCAGGGCCUGAACCCAUUCCUGGUGGCCCUGACCAGUUGAGCACCUAGCUCUGCGAUUCCGGGAUCACCAGGAUCUGGCAGGCUAGACCAGUGCCCUCCAGGAAGCAAGUUGAGAUCCAGUGCAAGCCCACCUCCUUGAACUCAAAUGGCAUUUUAACUCUUGGCCUAGUCACCCAGCAGGAGCCUGCAAAUCUUAGUGUGGUUAGAAGAGGACGCACCAAAGGCCAGCUCAGGGAACCAUCCCAGCUGCCUGUUUCCUGCCCAAGCUCUGAAACCAGACUUUCUGCCUCCAAACAAGGUAAGCCAAGGUACUGUCCCUGACCUGGCCUUCCACCGCUGACCACCAGAGUACAACCUCCCCCGGCCUGGAGGUCACCAGGCCACAGACCCCCAAGUUUGGCCUAGACCCCUUAGAACUUGGAAUUUGGCACAGCUGAGUCAAUUCAGUCACCUGUUUCCAGGUCACUCUGAGAAAACCUGCCAAAGGGAGACAGGAACAGCCAGUCUCCAAGUCUCCAUCCAGCAGCCCGCCCUCCGCAGGACACUGCCUCAGACCCUGCCAAGUCUCAUUAAGCCCAGCUCCUACCUCCGCGCCAGGAGAAGAAGUCUGCCCAGACUUAAAGCCAUCACCAGCUCCUCGUGGUCCCCGGCAAACUCCAAGAGCUGCAAUGUCUUCCAUCAUCCAGCUGAGGAUGAGAGGGUUACACACACCCAGGCGGGUCCAUGGCCCCUUUUGAUGCUGGUUCUGGAGCCUCCUCUGCACCCGACUCAUGAUGGCGCUGGGCCUUCUGAAUUCCCCUGGUUAACAGGUGAGACUCCUCACUAGUUGGUCACUAUGUCAUGGAAGGAGGUCAGAUCAUAUCAGCCUGCUGGAAAACUCAUGGCUUUUCAAGAGUGAUGAGCACUCUUUUUCCCUUUGAGUUGUUUAUGCCUUCACUGCAUUUCAUCUUUAUUUGUUCUUUCAGAUUUGGCAGGUAGCCAGCUACACAGUCUAUAAUUUCCACCAUUACCCACGAAGUAAAAACUUUGAGCAAUUCUCCCCUGGCACAGCUAAACACACCUUCCGAGAAUCCAGGGGGGCUCAUUUACAUUGGUGUUAUCUUGUGCAUGUAGUCUGAUGGCCAUUCAGCCUACAAUUCUAGACUUCCUUAGAAGAAAUUUGUAGCCGCAAGAUUGCUCAAUGCAGACGAAGGGGGACGGACGGAUGGGUCUUCUCAUUUACAGAGUCAGCUUGGUUAUGCGACCAGAUAAUACCCUUUCCCAUAUUUGGCCAUUACUGAAGAGUGUGUAUUUUACAAGUGACUUUUUUUUUAAGCACUCAUAUAAAUAAUACUUUUUAUUCUGUCAGAGUCCCAUUUAUAAAUCUUUCCACCAUUAAAUAGCAAAUGCCUUCCUACAUUCCUUUUAGGUGCCUCCAGAAGGUUUCGAUUGUUUAUCCAAAGGUCAGACAAGUUCUGGAAUCAGAUGAAAUCAAUCAUUAACAAAGUGAUGAGAAACUUGCUUCUGGUAACAUUUGUUUCUUCCCUUUUCAGGACUGAAGGGAAAAAGAAAAAUAGCUCCAAACGACUGCCAGAGGACAGAGGUCACACGAAGUCGUCAAAGCCCUAGGCCUGUUCCACAGCCGUAGAAUUGCACUUUCAGGUUGUGAUUUCCAAAACAAAAAAGAGGGGCCAAUCAUGCCAAGCUCCUGGCCCAGAAUCCAAAACUUCCCAGCUUCCUCCAACACCAGCAAUUCAGCCCGCAGUGACCUCGGCUGAACACAUCCAGCCACCCAGGGUGGUCCUGGGGAGGUUGGCCUGCAGCCUUGGAAAUGUGCUCGUGAUGCCUGCUCAUCCCAGGAUCACUGGGAGUAUUUCCCCAGGGACCUUGUUGGGCGGAGCACACUGUGACUCCUGCUGGGGGUGGGGUACAGGGGGACAGAGAAGGCCUUCUCUCAGUUGGGGUUGUCAGUGCCCAGAGCCCGACCUCACAGGAGCACUUUCUUUUCUUUUUUUUUUUUUUUGAGGAAGAUUAGCCCUUAGUCCUCCUCUUUUUGCUGAGGAAGCCUGACCCUGAGCUAACAUCUGUGCCCAUCCUCCUCUGCUUUAUAUGUGGGACGCCUACCACAGCAUGGCGUGCCAAGCGGUGCCAUGUCCACACCCAGGAUCUGAACUGGCAAACCCCGGGCCGCUGAGAAGCAGGACGUGUGAAUUUAACCACUGCACCACUGGGCCAGCCCCGUGGAGCACUUUCUUAUCUCCCCAGGACUCAGCCUCUGAGAUGAAAACAGCUGAUUUCUUGUCAUUGCUACAUUGCACAGAAGCAUAACAAAACAGAGCCAUGUGCCUGAUUUGUUCUCUCCCAGUAGCCGAGGAUUGCUGGGCCCUGCAUGCAGCCCAGUCAUUCUUUAAACUCCCUUCCUCUCCUUCUCCACAGCAGCUGUUUCCAACCUUUGUCACUUCCUUGGGUCUCUUAGAAGUUGGUGCUCCCUAAACUUCUGUCCUUUCUUUAAUUCAUUCCAAUACUAUUUAUUGAGGUCCUAGUACCUGCCAAGCACUUUCCUAGGCGCUGGGGAUGGAGUGAUGGAGCCCACGGCCUCCACAUUCACCGUGGAUCUCACGAUCUAGCUUCAGCCUCCUCUCGCUCCACGCACUCUUUGUGGUCACCUCAUCCCUCCUCCAAGCCUUCAGUUGCCACCUGUACCAUGAUGGCUCCCUCUUCCUCAGCUGACCCGUAAACCCAUCCAACUGUGUGCCAGCCAGUGCCAUGUAUCCUGCCUUGUGGUUGGCAAGGAGGAAAACAAUCUCCAAGUAAAGAGGGAUGGUUGAAUAUCACAACCACAACCCUUAUCCCAGAAUGCCUUUAUCCUGGGGCUACUUGCUCUGAUCCCAGCUGAAACCACCAUGAUGGAAACUCUCAGAAGUGCUGUUUCUCUUUCCCACCUGCCCAGAUAUGGAAAAUAGUCUUCUCUUAAAUCUUCACAGCAGAGCUAAAGCCAGGCUAGAAGAUUUAGCAAAACUUUAUGGAAAGUUCCAAAAGAAUAGAGGAAUUAUCUACCGAGGGUAACUCACAAUUGGCCAUUGAAUAUGGUUUCUCCUAGAGCCCACUGGCCUUCAUGGCCCUCGUAAGAUCUCUGCCUACCCUGGCUACCCAAUUAGAGCAGAAGUCUCCUCCCCUCCCCACACCCCAUCAGCACCCAGAAAUACCUUAAAUUCGCCUAGAGUGGGUCCUCAGAGAGAGGAAGGAGCUUCCUUCCCCUGUUGCCAAAGGUCCACCUUCUUAAGACCACAGCUCCUAUCCCAAGACUUGCUUCUUCCAAGGAAGGUUAACCUGAAGAACGUCUCCUCCCUUCAGAGAAGACCUCUCUCAUCCGUAUAGGUUGUGGCCUUAACAGGACAGUAGUCUGACUUUGUACAGAAACAACACAGAUUGUGGUAUUGGAAGGAAGGUGAGGCGAAUGAAAAGGACAGGAAUCAUUUCCAAAGACACUUCACACUCAAUAUAUAUAACACCAAACUCAACAUCUCCUUCUGGUGCCCUCCCUCCAAAUCUGCUCGUCUUCAGCUUAUUCUUGUCUUAAAUAAUGGCAUCAGCAUCCUCAAAGGCACCCAAGCCAGAAUCCUCGGGGUCAGCAUGGUGCCUCCCACUCAGAUUCCCACACCUUCUACCUCCUGAAUGUCUUUCCAGUCUGCCCUCUCUUCCCCAUGUCUGUCUUUGGUUCAGGCCUUCUCAUCUCUACCUGGACCAGGGCAAAGUCUUCCUCACUGAUCUCCCUGCCUCUGGCUUUCCCUGUUCCAAUCCAUCCUCCACACUGCAGUCAAGGUGAUUUUUCUCAAAUCAUUAUCCCACCAUAUAUGUCAGGUUGUUGUCCUGGAGCCAGACUGCCCGGGCAAAAGUCCAUACAAGUUUUAUAGCCAUGAACCUCUAACAUCUCGUGGCUCAGUUUCCUCAUCAAUAAGAGAAGAUAACAGUACCUACCUCAGAGUCACUGCGGAGUUUGUGGUAGGCUGCUUUUAAAAUAGCUCCCAAUGAUCCCAUUUUCUGGUAUGCAUGCCCUUGGGUAAUGCCCUCCCAUUGAGUGUGGGCUGGACCCCGUUAGUUGCUUGUAACAAAGAGAAUAUGGCAAAAGUGGUGGGACGUCACUUCCAAGGUUAGGAUAUAGAAGACUUUGACUUCUGUCUUGCCCACUCUCUCUCUGGCUCUUCUCUCUUGCUUGCUCUGAUGAAGCAAGCUUCCAUGUUGUGACUGCCCUACGGAGAGGCCUGCAUGGCAAGCAGCCGAAGGCAGCCUCAACCAGUGAGGAACCGAAUCCUGCCAGCAGCCGAGUGAGCGGGCUGGGCAGCAGAUCCUUCCUCACUCGGGCCUUAAAACAAAUCCAGCCCAGCCAGCACCUUGACGACAGUUUUAAGAGAGACCCUGAGCCAGAGGACUCAGGUAAGCUGUGCCUGGAUUCCCGACUCACAGAAACUGCGAAGUAACAAAUGUUGUUGUAAGCCACUAAGUUUGGAGACAAUUUGUUAUGCAACAAUAGAUAACUAAUGCAGAUAUAAAAUAAUACAGAUAGAAGCCUUAGAAUAGAGCCUGACGCAUAGUCAAUAAAUAUUAGCUAUCAUCAUCA